rnacentral:sRNA from 1 species
GCGGCGGCCACCGUCUCCCGCCAGUUGAGCAGCACGUCGACGGCGACGUAGUGCGUGACGGCCCCGACGAGCACGAGCACGUGGAAGAUCUGGUGGCUGUGGCCGACGACGUCGAAGACGCCCGGGCGCCACUUCUCCGGCACGCGGCUGACGUAGAACCAGGCGCCGGCGGCGUAGGCGAGCCCCAUGGCGACCUCGAGCGAGAGCGCCAGGUAGCAGGCGGCGUGGCCCCAGUUGAGCCACAGCGCGUGCAGCGCCGGGACGACGCCGGAGAGCCCCAUGGCGAGGAACAGCGCGGCGCGGAGACGCCGGAACCGCGGCGACGAGCAGGGCGGCGAGAGCAGCGCGCCGACGACGAGCGCGCCCAGCGCCGAGAUGGCGGAGAGGUAGGCGACGCGCGCCGGGCGGUGGCACAGGAAGGCGUAGUACACCGGCGGGACGAAGGAGGCGACGAUCAUGGCGGAGAUGCCGGCGUAGUCGAGCUGCCAGAACACCACGCUGGCGCGCCUGGAGUGGCACGCCAGCAGGUGCGCCGUCGCGCUGAUCGCCAGGCACGUCAUGGCGCCCACCAGGAACACCAUCCGCGGCCACCGCGGCACGCCGUGCCCGCCGCCCAGCACCGCCGCCGCCGCUGCCGCCGCCGCGGCGUCAUGGCUCGCCGCGCCCUGCAUCCAAUGCCACCUUCAUUCACAUCACUCGCCAGGAAGAGCAGGAACCCACCGAGAUGGCUGCAUGGCAUGCACAACAAACAAUCGGCAUGAAAAUUGAAAAGCAAAUCAUCCACCGAUGAGAUGAUGAGAAGGAGAGAUUGAAUGGAAUUGGGAGGGGGAUUGGGGGCGCGCACGUCCAGACGUUGAGGGUCUCGUUGUGCCAGGAGAAGGCGCUGAGGGCGGCGUCGCGGAGGGGCCACUCGGCGCGGUAGUAGCCGCGGAUGAACUCGUUGUCGC